rnacentral:rRNA from 1 species
CUACGGGAGGCAGCAGUGAGGAAUAUUGCACAAUGGGGGGAACCCUGAUGCAGCAACGCCGCGUGGACGAUGACGCAUUUCGGUGUGUAAACUCCUUUUAUAUGUCAAGAAAAUGACGGUAGCAUAUGAAUAAGCACCGGCUAACUCCGUGCCAGCAGCCGCGGUAAUACGGAGGGUGCAAGCGUUACUCGGAAUCACUGGGCGUAAAGGACGCGUAGGCGGGUUGGAAAGUCAGGUGUGAAAUCCUACAGCUUAACUGUAGAACUGCACUUGAAACUUCUAAUCUAGAGUAUGGGAGGGGGAGAUCGAAUUAGUGGUGUAGGGGUAAAAUCCGUAGAUAUCACUAGGAAUACCUAAAGCGAAGGCGAUCUCCUGGAACAUUACUGACGCUAAGGCGUGAAAGCGUGGGGAGCAAACAGGAUUAGAUACCCGAGUAGUC